UACAGAGGGGGCGAGCGUUGUUCGGAAUUACUGGGCGUAAAGGGCGCGUAGGCGGCUUGCUAAGUCGGACGUGAAAUCCCCCGGCUUAACCUGGGAACUGCGUCUGAUACUGGGAGGCUUGAGUAUGGGAGAGGGAUGUAGAAUUCCAGGUGUAGCGGUGAAAUGCGUAGAUAUCUGGAGGAAUACCGGUGGCGAAGGCGGCAUCCUGGACCAUUACUGACGCUGAGGCGGCGAAAGCUAGGGGAGCAAACGGG
rnacentral:rRNA from 1 species